UACGAAGGGGGCUAGCGUUGCUCGGAUUGACUGGGCGUAAAGGGCGCGUAGGCGGUUCGUACAGUCAGACGUGAAAUUCCUGGGCUCAACCUGGGGGCUGCGUUUGAUACGUGCGGACUUGAGUGCGGAAGAGGGUCGUGGAAUUCCCAGUGUAGAGGUGAAAUUCGUAGAUAUUGGGAAGAACACCGGUGGCGAAGGCGGGUUGCUGGGCUGACACUGACGCUGAUGCGCGAAAGCCAGGGGAGCGAACGGG
rnacentral:rRNA from 1 species